CCUCGGCCGCAAGGGGCGGGGAGAGGUGGGCGGCGCCGAUGCUUCAAGUCCCAAGGCUGGAGAUUCUGCGGCUGAACGCAGGCAUCGAACUCAGGACCUUGCGCUUGUGAGGCAGGUGUGGUGCCACUGCGCUAAAUCCCCAGCCCUGAAUGAGAUUUUUUGCCAAAGCACUGCUCAGCCUCCAGUUCUGUGGUUUACUGGGAUUGCCAAAGGAUGUCAUGAAUCUUGAAAGAUUACCUGAAAAGGCCAAUGGGAAGCAGCACCAUGAUAGCCAUCUUCAUAUCCAUGAAGACCAAGAGAAGGCCACCCAGGAGAUCCAGUUGGAGCAGCUUUGUUUCCCAGCUACUACCAGACCCCAGGCUGGCCGCUUUCAGUGCCCCGGUUUGAAGUCUGCGCGGCGAGAGUUGCCAGCUUCCCCGCUCCACGCCUCGCCCCGGACGGGCCGCAUGUGGUUACCUCCACGGUCCCGCGUCUAUCUGAUUAUAGGGUUGCAAAAUGAGUUGACCAAAUGUGGGAUCUUGAAGAACAUGAGUGACUGUGAAGAUUUUUGGAAGUUGAUUCGGGAGGAAACUCAUGGAACAGAAAUCAAAGAACAGCUCCAGAAGAUAAAAAUUAAAAUGUUGGAUCCCAGAUACUGGCCUCUGGUGGCUCCUAGAAGAAGGGAAACAAGGUCAUUGGUCAGCGCUGAUCAGGACAACAGGCCCUGCCAGGGGAAAUGGAUCCGGACAUCCUCUCUGGAACCAGUACCCUGUCUGUCUCAAACACAAGAAGAAUUCCAGCAGCCACCUCCCAGGGACUUUCUUUCUCAACUUAUGGAGUGGAGGGAGAGGUGCCAACAGCGAGAGACUGCAGGAAAACUACCCGGAGGACAGGGGGAGAACAAGAUUAUUUGUAAAAUGAACAAGAAGGAUUCCCGAAGUAAGAUAUAUCUUAGAUGCUUGCAUCAGAUGUAUUCUACCUCCCUUGCUAACAUGGAAUUCUCCAGAAGGCUGCUGGAGAAGGACGGCCGCUUCGCAGAUGUGCAUGCUGUGGGCAGAGCUGGAGGUCUGGUGGGUUACAUGGUCCCAGAUGGACACAGAGAGCAGAAAGAAGUCACACCCAAGGAGACAGAGACACGAGACCCACUGCCUGGCAGUCAGCGGCCUCGGGCACAGCUUGCCCUCACCUUCUUGAAAUGCUGGAGCUCAGGACAUGCAUGGAGAGAUUCCCACCCCAAAACAGGAGGACACCAAGUGGCCCUGCAUGGCAUGCUUAAACUUCCCAAGCACUUGAGUGAACCUGAUCCUCCCAGGAUGACUGCAGUACCUGACACCCCCACACCCCUGACCUUGGAGCACAUGAGCCUGACCCAUCGUGUUGUGGAGGCUAAGACAAGAAGCCAAUAUUGGAUUAACUAUGUGGAUGAAGAAUGACCAAAAUGGGAAGGAUGAAGAAAUGUUGAUACUCCCAAACAAAUGAGGAAAUGGCAAUUUUUUAAAAAAUUCAAAGUCAUGAUAAACAAUGAUGAUGCCAUCAAGUGAAUCAAUGGAUAUUUAAGUGCUGUAAUAAUAUCUUCCUUAUAAAUGUGAAAACUUUAUUUGGAAACCUAGAACCAUGAAGAAAGACCAGUAGAAACAGGUGUCAGCAAGAUAAGACUCACAACAUAGCCAGAUAAUGAAGAUUAUAGGCACAGAAGAUUUAAUAAGCAAGAUUAACAUGGCUAAAUAAACUUAAAAUGAAGUUUUAAAUUAUGAGUAAGGAAUAGGAAGCUUGGUAAAUGAAUUGAGAGUGUUUGAAAAAGAAUGAAAUAGAAACUGUAGAGCAGAAAAAUAUAAUAUAUGAAAAUAAAUAUUUAAUGAGUGGGUUGAAAGUAAAGUAGGGAUAAUUAAAGAUAGAAUCUGUGAAUUAGAGAGGUCUAAAAAAGUGACUUAAAGGCCAGCAUGGAGAAGCAAAGUGAGGGGGGCUGAGAGACAAGAAGGCCGGAGUGGAAUGUCCACCAGGAGCCAACAGUUUCAACAGCAAUAGUGGAGAGGAUGGGGAGGAGGAAAAUAAUUUUCUCAGUUGAUGAAAAACACCAAUCCUCAGCUUUAGGGAGACCAAAGAAUCAGUAAUGUAAUGAGUACAAAGAACAGCACCAAAUAUGAAGUGAAGUUCCUCAAGCCAGAGAGAUGAGGCAGAGUGUUCACGAAGAAAUAAUACCCAGAAAUAUAGGCAUCACUACAGUAGAAGCUAUGAGCAAGUCCUGGAGAAGAAAUGGAAAGCCUAAGCAAUCCUACAACUGUUAAAUAAAUCAAAUCCAAAAUUAAAAACCUUCCCACAAAGAAAAUUCUAGCCCCAAAUGAUUCCACUGGCAACUUCUUCAAAUAGUUAAGGAAGAAAUAAUGUCAUGAUUUAUAUACAAACUCUCUCAGAAAAUAGGAAAAAAGGCCAUGUUCCCCAACAUUUUUUCGUGAAGGCAGAAUAACCUCAAUAGCAAAACCAGAGCAGGGACAUUUAUUACAGUGAAGAACAAUACAGGGCAGUCACACUCAGAAACAUAGUUGCAAAAUUCUUAAAAGGAUUAGCAAAGUGAACCUAGUAAUAUCUAGGUACAUUUCAGUAACUUCUGCUCAGUGGAAAAAUAAUAGCAAAUUAUGAAUAGGAGAGGAAUUCUUUAAUCUGAUAAUAUAUACAAAUGUAAAAUUUAAUAUACUUAGUGGUAAAAUAUUUAACCCUUUUCUUUUGAGACUGGGAAUAACACGAGAAUGAUCAUCUUUUUUCAUUUCUACUCCAUAUUUUACUGAGAGUUUGAUCCAGGUAGUAAGGAAGACAAAUUUAUGAGAGCUAUGAAGUUUGCAAAAGAUGGAAAAUUGUCUUUUAAAUAGAGAACUCCUACAAAUAAAUAAUAUAAAAACAGACAAUUCAAUAAAGAAAGACAGAAGGUUCGAGCAGGAAAUUUAAAAAGGAUGAUAAAUGGCCAAUGAAUUAAUGAUGUUACUGAUCAGAACUGCAAAUUAAAAUCAAAGUGACACCACCAUACUGACCAGAAUAACUAAAAUUAAAAAAGACAAUACCAAGUCCAACAAAAGGUGUGGAGCAACUACUUUGGAAAGCACUAUCAUUAUCUUCUGUCUUGAACCAGUGAACCCCUGAGACUGAUUCUACUGUUAAAUAUAACCCUAGCAAACCUCUCAUAUACACCAAGAAAAAAGUAUCAUAGCAGUACUAUGUAUAACUGCCUCAAACUAGAAACAACCCAAAUGUCCAUCAAAAGUAGAACAACAACAAAAUAUGUUGUGGAAAAGCAAAGCAAUGAAAUUCUAUGCAAUAGUGAAAGUGAACAAACUUGCUACAUGUAGCAACUCUAGGGACACUCAGAUUGCACAGCCACGUGUUCAACAGGACCACUUGGAUGCAACAAAAUUAAUUCUAUGAUUUUAUACAAGGUUCAAAGAGAGCAAAAUUAGACUAUUUAGUUUAGGGAUGUAAUUUAGCUAGUAAAGGAAUAUAGCCAAGUAAAGAAGUAAUUCUAAAUUCCUGGAAAAUAGUUAACUUUAAAAGAUUUAACUUUAAAAGAGGGACCUUUUAAAGAGGGGAAAAUAGUUAACCACACCAGUGUGUGGUUGGGAAGAGGACUUCUGGGGUGUUGGAAAUGGGCUAUUUUUGAAAUCUGGUUGGUGGGUACUUCUAACGUUUGCUUUGUAGUAAGAGUUUAUAAAGUGUUCAGACAGAAAUGAUAAAUUGGACGUGGUGGCACAUACCUGUAAUCCCAGCACUCUGAGAGGCUGAGGGGUGAUUUAGUAAAUUUGUGAGACCCCAUCUCAAAAUAAAGAAUUAAAAAGGGCUGAGGGUGGAGCUCAAUGUGAAUGUCCUGGGUUCAACCUCCAGUACCAUGAAAAAGAAUUUUUUUUUAAAGAUAUCACUUAUGAUAGCAAUAAAAAUCAAUUAUUUAGAAAUAAAUUUUGGAAAAAGCUAUGCAAGCCAACCCCUUCAUGGAGAAACUUACAAAACAUUAUUAAAAGAUAUUUUAAAAGAACCAUGUAAAUGGAGGCAUAAUGCUCAUGGUAACACUGUACACUUAAAAGAGAUCAGUUCUCCCAAGUGUGGUUUUAGAUUUAAUGCCAUCUUAAAAAUGUUUCACAGCACUUGAAUGCUAAUUGUUAUUUAUAUAGAAAAACAUACAGCUGUAGAAUAUAAUACACACUGGAAACAGAAAAUAGCCAGUGAUGGGGGCUGUCCUGCAAGACAUUAGUCCAAAUUUAAAGCUAUCUAACAAAGAAGUGCUUUACUGGUGGAGUGGUACAUAAACACACCAAUGGAUUAGAAUAAAGAGUUUGGAUACUGAUAGCUGCAAAUCAGAGGCAUAAUGGAAACUUGGUUUAUGGCAGAUUGAUUGCCAGUCUUUGGUGAAACAAUGACUGAUUCAAUAAAGGAUGUUUGGAUGUUGGUUUUCCACAUAGAAUAAGGAUCUCUAUCUCAUUCUAUGCACAAAAAUCAGUUCCAAGUGGGCCAGGGAUUUAGCUCAGUGGUUCUGCUACCUGCCUCACAAGUGCAAGGUCCUGAGUUCGAUCCCCGGUACCAAAAAAACAAAACAAAAAAAAAAUCAGUUCCAAGUAAGCUCCAGGCCUGCAGGUAAAAAGGCAGAGGUAGACAACUGUAAGGAUAAAAGAGACUGGCUUGGGGAGAGGAAAUGGUGAGAUCUUUUGCAAAUGAGAAGAGCAAGUGAUGGAGGGAAGGAAGAGGAGGGAAAGAGAAAUAAAAAGAAUAAUGUGUGUUAUGUACACCUCCAACUCCCCACAAUGAAUGUAACCAUUAUGUACUACAAACAUGUACUAAUAAAAAUAAAAUUUUAAUAACCAAAAAGCUCACAAAGGCUCAAUGAGCUUAAAAAAGAAAGAAAAAUGUAACAAAUUAGAUUGUAUUAAAACGGGAAAUCUCUGUCCACAAUAGGACAUCAUCAAUAAAGUGAAAAGAGUAGUCACUAAGUGGGACAAUGUUUUGGUACUUGGAAAGCAGACAAAUGAUUAGCAUCAACAUUUUAAAAAACUCCUAUAAUUCAAUU
rnacentral:lncRNA from 1 species